CCCCGCCUACCUGUACUCGUGGGAGAUGGUGAUUGCUCACACCAAAGCCUUGGACCCCUCCCAGCCUGUGACCUUUGUGACCAACUCCACCUACGCAGCAGACAAGGGGCUCUGUAUGUGGAUGUGAUCCGUGUGAACAGCUACUACUCUUGGUAUCGCAACUACGGGCACCUGGAGUUGAUUCAGCUGCAGCUGGCCGCCCAGUUUGAGAAUUGGUGUAAGACAUCACAAUCCCAUUAUUCAGAGCGCGUAUGGAGUGGAAACGCUUGUAGGGUUUCACCAGGCUGGUGAAUUACCAGAUCUCCGUCAAGUGCAGUAACCAGUUCAAGUUGGAAGUGUGUCUUUUGAAUGCAGAAAACAAAGUCGUGGACAACCAGGCUGGGACCCAGGGCCAGCUGAAGGUGCUGGGUGCCAACCUCUGGUGGCCGUACCUGAUGCACGAACACCCCGCCUACCUGUACUCGUGGGAGAUGGUGAUUGCUCACACCAAAGCCUUGGACCCCUCCCAGCCUGUGACCUUUGUGACCAACUCCACCUACGCAGCAGACAAGGGGCUCUGUAUGUGGAUGUGAUCCGUGUGAACAGCUACUACUCUUGGUAUCGCAACUACGGGCACCUGGAGU
rnacentral:lncRNA from 1 species